rnacentral:rRNA from 1 species
GUAUAAUGGGUCAGCGACUUAUAUUCUGUAGCAAGGUUAACCGAAUAGGGGAGCCGGAGGGAAACCGAGUCUUAACCGGGCGUUAAGUUGCAGGGUAUAGACCCGAAACCCGGUGAUCUAGCCAUGGGCAGGUUGAAGGUUGGGUAACACUAACUGGAGGACCGAACCGACUAAUGUUGAAAAAUUAGCGGAUGACCUGUGGCUGGGGGUGAAAGGCCAAUCAAACCGGGAGAUAGCUGGUUCUCCCCGAAAGCUAUUUAGGUAGCGCCUCGUGAAUUCAUCUCCGGGGGUAGAGCACUGUUUCGGCUAGGGGGCCAUCCCGGCUUACCAACCCGAUGCAAACUGCGAAUACCGGAGAAUGUUAUCACGGGAGACACACGGCGGGUGCUAACGUCCGUCGUGAAGAGGGAAACAACCCAGACCGCCAGCUAAGGUCCCAAAGUCAUGGUUAAGUGGGAAACGAUGUGGGAAGGCCCAGACAGCCAGGAUGUUGGCUUAGAAGCAGCCAUCAUUUAAAGAAAGCGUAAUAGCUCACUGGUCGAGUCGGCCUGCGCGGAAGAUGUAACGGGGCUAAACCAUG